rnacentral:pre_miRNA from 1 species
CAUGUACUCCCUCCGUUCUGAAUUACUUGUCUUGGAUUUGUCUAGAUACAGAAGUAUCUAGCACUAAAAUGAGUCUAGAUACAUCCGUAUCUAGACAAAUCCAAGACAAGUAAUUCAGAACGGAGGGAGUACAAC